UAGCUGUGUUGUAAGUUUUGAUAGGGAC
rnacentral:sRNA from 1 species